rnacentral:rRNA from 1 species
UACGAGGUGGUCAGCAGUGUUCGGAUUCGAUUGGUGGCGUAAAGAGCUCGUAGGCGGUCUGUCGCGUCUGCUGUGAAAACUCGGGGCUUAACCCCGGGCCUGCAGUGGGUACGGGCAGACUAGAGUGCGGUAGGGGAGAUCGGAAUCCUGGUGUAGCGGUGAAAUGCGCAGAUAUCAGGAGGAACACCGGUGGCGAAGGCGGAUCUCUGGGCCGUAACUGGACGCUGAGGAGCGAAAGCAUGGGGAGCGAACAGG